UUCUCAACCAGUUGAUAGUGAUCUGACUGAAUUUUAAAUUGAUUUCAAUUUCUUCCUGAGUGACGCUUGACAGCAGUCCGUUGACUUCACUUUGUCAAUAUUCAGAUUACAAGUGGACUCACCUAACAUAUGGCUGACGGUUGGUAAAAACCGUGGAUGUAGAGGUCAAAACCAUUGGUUGUUCUAGAUGUCUGAACAGUGCCAAUGGGAGAGGGGAUGUUUUGUCUCCAGCCCUAGCAACAUGCACCGGAUUGGUGGAUAUGACAGCUCACGCUGCCUGCGAUUGGCCGUUAUUGUGGAGCAUUUUGAGCAGAGACAUUCAUCUCUUGCUCUACUGGGUGUGGGUUGCUGUAGGAGGCUGCAGCAGAAUGCUGAAAGAGCCAUCAAAUCAGGCUGUAAGUUUGUUUUACCUCCGCAAUAUGAAAAAGAAAUAGAAUGAAUACAAUGAAAGUGUCAUUUCAGCUGGUACUCGUGCAGUUUAUGUGCAGGCAGCCA